rnacentral:rRNA from 1 species
AUUGAGCGCUGGCGGAAUGCUUUACACAUGCAAGUCGAACGGCAGCACGGACUUCGGUCUGGUGGCGAGUGGCGAACGGGUGAGUAAUGUAUCGGAACGUGCCCAGUCGUGGGGGAUAACGCAGUGAAAAUUACGCUAAUACCGCAUACGAUCUAUGGAUGAAAGCGGGGGAUCGCAAGACCUCGCGCGAUUGGAGCGGCCGAUAUCAGAUUAGGUAGUUGGUGGGGUAAAGGCCCACCAAGCCAACGAUCUGUAGCUGGUCUGAGAGGACGUCCAGCCACACUGGAACUGAGACACGGUCCAGACUCCUACGGGAGGCAGCAGUGGGGAAUUUUGGACAAUGGGCGAAAGCCUGAUCCAGCCAUUCCGCGUGCAGGAUGAAGGCCCUCGGGUUGUAAACUGCUUUUGUACAGAACGAAAAGGUUUCUACUAAUACUAGGAGCUCAUGACGGUACUGUAAGAAUAAGCACCGGCUAACUACGUGCCAGCCGCCGCCGUAA